GGUCCUUCGGGAACAUCCGAUAAAAUUGAAACGAUACAUAAAAGAUUAGCAUGGUCCCUGUGCAACGAUGGAAGGCACAAAACUAAUCGAGAAAUGGUCCAAAAAGCG